AAGACUAUACUUUCAGGGAUCAUUUCUAUAGUUUUUAACUAGGAAAUGUGUUUCUUAAAAGAAUUGUCUCCUAAACCACGAUGAAGAGUAUCGAUGUGUUUCUCUGAGCGUGAAACGAAUAGUAUUCGGUGAUAUUAAUCACAGAUUACUAUUAUUGAAGAACGUUCUCUAUGCCUGAAGGGGUGUAGUGAGGAGGAAUGCAUGAUCAGAGUGGC